CCGGUAGCUCAGUUGGAUAGAGCAUCUGGCUACGAACCAGAAGGUCGGGGGUUCGAAUCCUCCCCGGUG
rnacentral:tRNA from 1 species